rnacentral:rRNA from 1 species
AAUGAACGCUGGCGGCAUGCCUAACACAUGCAAGUCGAACGAGACCUUCGGGUCUAGUGGCGCACGGGUGCGUAACGCGUGGGAAUCUGCCCUUGGGUUCGGAAUAACUCAGAGAAAUUUGAGCUAAUACCGGAUGAUGUCGUAAGACCAAAGAUUUAUCGCCCAAGGAUGAGCCCGCGUAGGAUUAGCUAGUUGGUGAGGUAAAGGCUCACCAAGGCGACGAUCCUUAGCUGGUCUGAGAGGAUGAUCAGCCACACUGGGACUGAGACACGGCCCAGACUCCUACGGGAGGCAGCAGUGGGGAAUAUUGGACAAUGGGCGAAAGCCUGAUCCAGCAAUGCCGCGUGAGUGAUGAAGGCCUUAGGGUUGUAAAGCUCUUUUACCCGGGAUGAUAAUGACAGUACCGGGAGAAUAAGCUCCGGCUAACUUCGUGCCAGCCGCCGCCGUAACAC